CGCCUGCGUCAAAUACUCCAACGACGGCACCCUUCUGGCCUCGGCGUCCCUCGACAAGACCGUAAUCCUCUGGUCCGCCUCCACCCUAACCCUUUUCCGCCGCCUUUUCGGCCACUCCGAAGGCAUCUCCGACCUUGCCUGGUCUUCCGACUCCCACUACAUCUGCUCCGCCUCCGAUGAUCGGACCCUCCGUAUCUGGGACGCCCGCUCCCCCUCCGGCGAGUGCGUCAAGACCCUCCGCGGCCACUCCGACCGCGUCUUCUGCGUCAAUUUCAAUCCCCAGUCCCACCUCAUCGUCUCCGGCUCUUUCGACGAAACGAUGCGUAUUUGGGAGGUCAAGACCGGGAAGUGCCUCCACGCUAUCCGGGCUCACUCGAUGCCUCUGACCUCCGUGAGCUUCAAUCGCGACGGUUCGAUUGUCGUCUCCGCCAGCCACGACGGGUCCUGUAAGAUUUGGGACACCGAGUCGGGGACUCUGC
rnacentral:lncRNA from 1 species